UACGGAGGGUGCAAGCGUUAUCCGGAUUCACUGGGUUUAAAGGGUGCGUAGGAGGGCGGGUAAGUCAGUGGUGAAAUCUCCGAGCUUAACUUGGAAACUGCCGUUGAUACUAUCUGUCUUGAAUAUUGUGGAGGUGAGCGGAAUAUGUCAUGUAGCGGUGAAAUGCUUAGAUAUGUCAUAGAACACCGAUUGCGAAGGCAGCUCACAAAGCCAUUAUUGACGCUGAGGCACGAAAGCGUGGGGAUCAAACAGG
rnacentral:rRNA from 1 species